rnacentral:rRNA from 1 species
UACGAAGGGGGCUAGCGUUGCUCAGAAUUACUGGGCGUAAAGCGCACGUAGGCGGCUUUCUAAGUCGGGGGUGAAAUCCUGGAGCUCAACUCCAGAACUGCCUUCGAUACUGGAGAGCUCGAGUCCGGGAGAGGUGAGUGGAACUGCGAGUGUAGAGGUGAAAUUCGUAGAUAUUCGCAAGAACACCAGUGGCGAAGGCGGCUCACUGGCCCGGUACUGACGCUGAGGUGCGAAAGCGUGGGGAGCGAACAGG